ensembl:misc_RNA Metazoa_SRP Metazoan signal recognition particle RNA
GCUGGGUGUGGUGGCACACCUGUGAUCCCAGCUACUUGGGAGGCUGAGAUGGAAGGAUUGCUUGAGCCCAGGACGUCAAGGCUGCAGUGAGCCAUGAUCAUGUCACUGCACUCCAGCCUGGGAGACAGAGCAAGACCCUAUCUCAA